rnacentral:rRNA from 1 species
UACGAAGGGGGCUAGCGUUGCUCAGAAUGACUGGGCGUAAAGGGCGCGUAGGCGGUUUGUACAGUCAGGUGUGAAAUCCCCGGGCUCAACCCGGGAACUGCGUCCGAUACUGGAAGGCUUGAAUCCGGGAGAGGGAUGUGGGAUUCCAGGUGUAGCGGUGAAAUGCGUAGAUAUCGAGAGGAACACCUGCGGCGAAGGCGGGUUGCUGGGCCGACACUGACGCUGAUGCGCGAAAGCCAGGGGAGCGAACGGG